UACAUAGAAAGGGUCCCCAGGGUGGGCAGCUGUCCCACAAUGGGGACACGUGGGUGUGCCCUGGGCCCACUCCACCUUUGCUUUCCUUCUGCAGGGCCUGAUGUUUAUAGAAGGCCUCCCACCUGCCAGGCUCUGUGCUGGGACCUUGUGCCAAAGGUCCAGGUUCCAAUUUACAGUUUCAUAAUAUUCCAGAUAUUGUCUAUUGUCUCCUGUACCCCAUGGUUACAGAAUCAAAAGGACCAAACAGCUGUGCCCGGGCUGGAGGGGCUGCCUCGGGAGCAGUGGACUGGCAUGCUCCGCUCCCGCUUGCUGAGCUGCCCAUUAAAUGGAAGGGUCCCUGGAGAGGCGGGGUGAGGGGACCGGCCUUUGGGGCUGGUGGCCGCAUUUCUGUUGUCACAGAGCUCCAACUGCCAAAGUAAACAUAAGUUUUGAAAUUAAGUGGGAACCCCAAGAGGUUUUCAUUUUGGAAAAGAAAUCAGCAAGACAGUGACUGUUUGGGGCCAUGAAGUCCUUUUCUUCCAUGCCCAGAUCUGCAUAGUCUGUGUGGUGAAAGUUGGAAGAAGCUGGAAACGCAGGGAUUGUGCCUAAUGCCAAGGGGCAGGUCACGGAGCAGAAGAAGGGGCUCUAGAGGCAGGCUGGCUCUGCCCCUAACCAGCGUGUGACCUCAGCCUUAUUACCUUGACCUUCCAGCCAUGACGGGGCUGCUGCACGCCUGGCGGUAUUAAAGCGGAGUUCUCGGCUCUGGGAGGAAAGGGGAGCUGCCUUCCAAACUCACCUUGCCGGGAUGUAUCCCUUCUCCCCUCAGACCGUUCUUGUCUCCUAGCUGCUGGGAGUCGGGGUGAUGGUCGCCUGUUUGGA